UUUGCCAGUUGCCUGCCAACUUCUAUCCCUGGGUCUGUUCCUGGGAGGUUUCUAGGACACCUCAGCUCUUGUUCCCAGAUGCUCCAUGCCUCUCCCUGAGUCUCAGGGUGCUUCUAGCCUGAUGGAGAAGCUGGUUCUACCUUUGUCUGAUGGAGCAGGCACAGGCUCUGCCCUCAGGGAGCCCUCAGUCUGAGGGGAGACAGGACACAAGCCCGGCCUUCAGAGUGGCCAGUCAUGAUGGCAUCCCCCAUCAUGAUUUUAAUUUUUAGUCUUUACUUGUUCACGACUCUAUAUCUGUGUCUCUUCCUGGAACUUAAGAUCCGUGACAGCAGGGACUUCUAUCUGCCUCUCACAGCAUCUUCGGCACUUGUCUAGCACCAAGCAAGCAAUAUUUCCUGAAUGAAUGAAUGAAUGAAUGAACUGGGAAACAGCACCAGAUCUGAAAGCCCCACGUCAAGAGGCAGCAGUGGAUAAACUCUAAAGUCCUUCCGCAUUCCAGCCUGUGUGAUGUGGCCCUCCACCUUGCCGCCUCCCACCCCUCUGGCCACACUCUUCAGCCACCAGCCACUAUGAGCACUGGCUGCCCUGGUGUCAGCCCCAGUUCCCACCUCCACCCCUUUCCUCACCGCACUCCCUCUUCCUGCAACUGCCUUUGCUCCCAUUGCCACAUGACUAAAUCCUGCCAGUCCUUCAAGGCCCUACGCAGAGUCACCUCCAGGAAGCCCACUCAGAUCCCUCCACUGGAUCUAAACGUCCAUAGCUUUUUCUCUGGGCCUCUUCUCUCACUGUGUCUGCAUAGGCCUGCUGGGGUCAUGGCUUCUCUCCCUUUUAUGCCAUAAGGCCCUGAGGGCCAGGAUUGCCUGCAGUUGCCCUGGAGGCCGGUACCUUGUGGUGGCUCCAUUGGAGGAAGUGUGAGCUGCUCAGUAGGCAGGUGGUCGUGUGUGCUCCUCUUUGCCCCAGCUUCUGGAAGCGCUGGAGGAGACGGAGAGAGUCGGCAGGACUCCCACUGUGGGCCUUGGAGGGAAGAAGGCCUCUGCAUCCUGGGGUGGGCCAAGGCUGCCUGCCAGCACCCAGCACCCAGCACCCACUGGCAUCUUCCACAGCAGCCUUGGGUCUGCACAAACUGGCUACAAACACAUAUGACUGCAUCUCACUCCAGUCCACAGCCAUGCCAAGGAGGAGGAUGCUACUCCCUGGGGCCCGCCUGCAGAGAGCCCCACGAGAUCUUCCUUGAGGAUUUGUUUUCUACCUUGAACUUUCACAGGCAUUUUACUUCCUACCCCAUGCUAUGUCCUUGUAUGUUUUAGUAUCAAAAUAAUGCUUUCCAUCACUUACCAUUGGAAAAAAACGGACACUCGAAGAGAUAAGGCAAAUUAUCAGGCCUGAGCUGUUCUUGCCCCUCUUCCUGGGUUUGGAAAGAGUGCAGAACCAGGAGCGAUAGGCCUGGGCCCAGGCUUGGCCCUGCAGACGAUGAUGGCUAAGUCAUCCAUAGAAUGGGCUGGUGAGCCUGCCGUGCCUUGCCUUAGGACAGUGGCCACCACUAAAUGGAGCAGUGGGUGUGAAGACUAAUGAUUCACACAUGGAACUUGAGGUGUCGGCUGGCUGUCUGGGGGCUGGGCCCCUCUCCAGGCCCCUCUGAGACUGGAGAAGCUGGAGGGAGCCUGAGGCCGACACCCCCAGCAUGGCCGCCACCCAGAUUCCCCCGAGCAGGCCGGGGACUGGGGGUCCAGGCAGCAGCUGCCCCCUCCCAGGCUAGAGGAAAGGGUGAGCUCACCCCCUGGCCCAGGCAGAGUGAGGGGGGUAGGAGACAUAAUUAAAAUGCCAGAGGUUAGGAGGUGAAGUUACAAUGGAAAGAAUGAAGCCCCAGCCCUGCUGCCGCUGCUUCUCCCACCCCGCUCCCUUUGCCAAGCCCACAUUUGAUUUUUAUUUCGGGAGCCGCCAGCACAGCACUUGGGAGGGAGUGGAGAAACCUCACUCCGGCUUGCCUUGCCAAGUCUGGAGCUGGGGCCACAGAGUGGGGAGGGGGCUCCUGGGACCCAGAGGAAGAGCCCAGAGGCCCCCACCCCAGGACCCAACGUCCUCAGGGAUCAGGUGCCAGGGAAGGGUGGCACUUGGGGCAGGGAGUGGGCUUGGGAGGCCAGGAAGAGAGACCUCGAAACAAUGAAGGCAUUCCUCGAUGUUUGCAUGAGGCUUUGCGCCUUCACUUUACUCUGGAGGCUGACCCCGGCCUCUUUCCCACUCCCAGCGCUAACUCCGCCUGCCCCCAACACUGGAGACUUUCAGUGCCCACUGGCAUGUGCAUAUUUGUGAAAGGGUUGCUGUGUGGCCCUGGGGAAGUUACUACCCCUCUCUGGACCUCAGUCUUCUCUCUGUGAAAUGGGCAGGUUGGCAAGAUUAGCAGGUUCAAACUGGGCUCUGCAAGGGUGUUGGAGGCCUGGGCCCUGCCCUCUCCUGGCCACCCUUUCCUGAGCACAUCUCUUAUCUGCCCCUUCUAGGGACUGGGGAGGUGGAGGCAGCGGUUGGCCCAUCCCCUGAGCCCCCGCCGCCCCCCUGCAGACGGGAGCUGCUGGGGCCAACUCACAUUUUCCUGCUCUCGGCUUUCUCCUCUGCCCAUAAUGCACUCCAGAUGGUCUCUCCAUCGGAGAGCCGAGGCAGCG
rnacentral:lncRNA from 1 species